rnacentral:rRNA from 1 species
CAGUCGCCGCGGUAAAACGGAGGGAGCUAGCGUUAUUCGGAAUUACUGGGCGUAAAGCGCACGUAGGCGGCUUUGUAAGUUAGAGGUGAAAGCCCGGAGCUCAACUCCGGAAUUGCCUUUGAUACUGCAUCGCUUGAAUCCAGGAGAGGUGAGUGGAAUUCCGAGUGUAGAGGUGAAAUUCGUAGAUAUUCGGAAGAACACCAGUGGCGAAGGCGGCUCACUGGACUGGUAUUGACGCUGAGGUGCGAAAGCGUGGGGAGCAAACAGGAUUAGAUACCCCUGUAGUCCCUGUCUCUUAUAC